rnacentral:lncRNA from 1 species
UAAUAAGCAACAGAUUCACUGAGAAAAUGCUUCCUAUCUGUUAGAAGAAUUUGACAGUUUUCAAAUGGAUGAUGCAUGAUUUAGGUUUGUUGACACUGAGUGAGCAGCACCUGAGGAACUUCAGAAAGUGCCAGGAUUUUCAGUGGAGGAAGGCAGGUUCCUGCUGCAUCCAUACAAUGUUGCUGACCAGCAGACUGGUGGAUACAUGAAGAAAACUCCUGCAUCCCUUCAAAAUGGGUUGGGUACAGGCUGUGAGGAGGAUCUGCGUAUAUCUGAGAAGGCCAUAACUGAGAUAAUCAUAAAUCUCCAAUGGAAGUAAGUCCAAGGAUGUCUAGAUACAAUCCAGGGCGAUACU